rnacentral:rRNA from 1 species
UACAACAUAGCAUUAAUGCAUUGGAUCCCAUUAGAAAUCUAUAGUUAAGCAUGCUCAAGCUAGAGUAGUACCGGGAUGGGUUACCGCCUAGGAAGUCCCAGUGUUUUAC